CACCUUAGAACGCACUAGGGGCGCAUAACGCGUCUUGACACUCAACUCCUAGUUUCAAGUAAAUGUUGAUAACAAACCAAGGAAUCUUUCUUCCAGGUGAUUAUGGCGGACCUCGGUGUCAAAAUGGGAGAUAUAGUCCUGUUGGUAUGGGCUCAACCAUUAUCACCUAUCACCUUAAAACAGUUUGCAGAGGCUCUUGGUACCAUCGUUGGUCCCAAUGGCCGAGUUUCAGUGGAAAACAUGGAAAUGCUUAUGCUUUCCUCCUAUGCUGAAUCCUCAUUCGACUGGGUGCUCUCUUGCCUUCUGCCGGACAUCAUUUCUAUCCACAGUUCAGAGACUCUGGCAGAGAUGGCCAGAGUACUCAAACCCGGUGGCAAAGUAGUUCUGGAUGAACCUGUUACAGGAGUUGAAGCAGAGAGUGUGAGGACUGCUGAGAAGCUGAUGUCCGCAAUCAAGUUAUCAGGCUUGGUGUCAGUGGCAGAGGUUAGUAACACACAACUGACUUCAGAGGCUUUGAAGACCCUCCUGACAGCUACGGGUUACCAUGGAAACACGCUGACCAGAGUACGCUUAUCUGCAGCCAAACCGAAUUUUGAAGUUGGAUCGUCCAGUUCAAUAAAGUUAUCAUUUGGGAAAAAUACUCCUCAGCCAGGGAGAUUGGCUCUGGAUCCAAACACCAUCAAAAUGUGGACACUAUCAGCAAACGACAUGAAUGAUGAUGAUGAUGCGGACCUUGUGGAUUCUGAUGCUCUACUUGAUGAAGAAGAUUUAAAGAAGCCAGACCCAGUGUCUCUUAAAGCCCCUAUCUGUGGGGAAGGUGCAAUCAAGAAAAAGAAAGCCUGCAAGAACUGCUCUUGUGGCCUGGCUGAGGAACUGGAGGAGAGUAAAGGACAGCAGACAAAUCUUCCAAAGUCCGCCUGUGGAAGUUGUUACCUUGGUGAUGCAUUCCGAUGUGCCAGCUGUCCACACCUGGGGAUGCCAGCAUUCAAGCCAGGAGAGAAGAUUUUGUUGGAAAACAGCACACUAACAGAUGCUUGAAACUCCAAAUCGCAUAUAUUCAACUCUGUGCCUCACUAUCAUUCCAGUGAUUCACAACACCCCACUCUAAAAAAUACUCGGCUUUGUUUUGUUUUAAUUACGUAGUAGCUGCUAAUGAUCUUCAGUAGGAGUUAAACUUGACGUGGUAUGUGAUAUUGAACUUGUUUUGUUUGCUUGGUGUGGCAGCAAUAGACUUUCAUCUAAGGAAGGACAGGUCAAAGUUCUGUCUAUUCAUUUGUGUAAAUUAUGUUGAGUUGUGUCGACGAGCUAUGAAUUACCAAAAGGGAUCAUGUUAUUGCAGUAGAAAUCGUUCAGAACUCCAAUGGCCACAAACAUGCAGCACCUUCUGACAUUUUAGUUAAAAUUAAAAUAACCAAUUCAUUUAUAUUUCAGCAGCUCAUUUCUUUGUCAGUCUGGUAGUACAAUCAAUAAAUGACAUGGUACUGUCAAGAUCUGUCACAGUUCGUUUCCUUGUUUUAAUGUUGUCAUAGUUUCGGUUCGCAUGUCUGUGUGCUCACCUCUCCCCUCCUGUGCCCUGAUCAGUGUUAUCACCCUCACCUGCCUCUCGCUAGCUGUCUUGUAUUUAAGUCCUGUCUGGCCCUCACUCCCGUCGGGUUGUUUGAGUCUCAUGUCUUCUUAUUUCUCUAGUUGCUUGUCUGUUCUCGUCUUGUUUCGUCUUUCUGUUCAAUUAUUCUCGUCCCUAGUCGAGCAUCUAUAGUCUGUAUUUUGAGUUCUGUCAAACCCUGGUCCAAGCUGCA